UUUGAUCUAUGAAGUCUUUAAUGUUGUCUUGAUCUAUCAAAUCUUUAAUGUCUCUCAUACAUGGAUUCAAACACAGACAACAAUACACUAGAGUACAUUCAUGAACGAACAUUUGUUUUGACUAUAGAUUUCAAAUAAGAAUCUUUGAAAUGAAUAUAUAAGCUUAUGAAUUUCAUUAAAAAAAACAACAAGAACAAACAAACAAAAAAAAACAACAGUUUUUAUACGAUCCAUUUUCCGUUCACAAUUUGUUUUUACAGUUUUUUGUUUCGUAAGAAAACUUGACAAGGGGGAAAAAACUAAAAUACAAAACUGUAUAUACUAAACGUCCAACGCUGUACACGUCGAACGCUGCACACGUCGAACGCUGCAAUCAAUCCACUUAAGGAAAAGUACUGCGUGGGAGUUAGGAGGCAUUACGUCUCACAGUGGAGAAAGUUUUAAGGAGUGGUCCUUCUUGGAUUUAGGAAAAACUUGCACAUGUGUCACUGUAGCAUCCGAUUCCAGCAGUGCAUUUUUUUCAACACAUUUAAUACAUUUAACUUAAAGAGGGAUGCGCGGCUGACUACCAUGAACCGCCUGCUUGCCUGAGAGGGAGCUUGUCUUCAAAUCCUGAUACAGAUGAGUGAUUUUUAAUAUUAAAAUAGGAUUCAAGUUGAAACGUGAUUUCUGAGAACCUAAGACAGCAAGGAAACCUUUAAUAAGGAGAGAUGGCAUUCUACUCAAAGGUAAGAGAAGGAAACUCGUGAAAUUCGUGUACAGUGGUUUCGUGCGUUAUUUCCCUUGUUCUAAAGUUUGUGGGAGUGUAACUUUAUCCUAUUGGAAGCACUGGAAUCUAUUUUCUAACUUCGGAAUGAAGAUUUGGUCUAGGACUAGUUUCUCUACUGAAAUCUUUUACGGCAUCUUAACACCCGUGUCACAAUAAGUAAUUGACUUUUGUGUGAGAGUAUAAUAUCUCUAUGCUACCUGUACUCCUAGGUUUUGAAAAGGAAACAUCUACAUGUGCACUAUUUGUAGUUAUUAAGUCUCAAUUAUCACCUCAAAAAUAAAUCACUACUUUUAAUUUGAGAACCUCGUCCAAGUCUCCUUUCGUCGACAACUUUUUUUUUUUGGAAAAAAAAAGGGGGGGGGGGGGCAAUUACACCAGAAUGCUUAUUAUGAAUUUUAAAAUCACAAAAAUAAAUUAACAUCGUAGUUUGACAAAAUAUUUGGGACAACUCUUUAAUCACUCAAGUACUACCCAUUGAAGGAAUUGCACGAACUAACAAAAGGGCUGUAUUGUUAGCAUUAAAAUCACUACAAAAUACAAGAUUCACUUCGGGUGUUUAUACUGGAAGAACUGUUUGAACAAGUGUCUUCAAUUGCAAUACAAGUAAUGUAUUUAAACAACAACAACAACAACCUUCCGCACAUUUCUUUUCCACUUUGUCUCGACUAUAUUUGGCGCAUUAAAACAAAAUUACAUGACAUGUCAUAAGGGCGCAUAAGACGAAAUGAUAAAGAAAAUAUUACAGAGUAGAAUAGCCUUUCUUAGUGGCCAAAACGUUAUUUCUUUUGAAACAUGCACUUCUAUAAAUAUGAAAAUGCUGUGAGGGUAUCAAUAUUUUAAUAAUCAUAACUUGUAUAAAUUCAUCAAGGCACUCUUAAUUUAACAAUAGUCAGUGAUAAUUUUGUACACCAGAAUGUGAUGGCCGAUCUAGUCAGUGUACAGAAUGUCGUGGCUGAUCUAGUCAGUGUACAGAAUGUCGUGGCUGAUCUAGUCAGUGUACAGAAUGUCAUGGCUGAUCUAGUCAGUGUACAGAAUGUCAUGGCUGAUCUAGUCAGUGUACAGAAUGUCAUGGCUGAUCUAGUCAGUGUACAUAAUGUCAUGGCUGAUCUAGUCAGUGUACAGAAUGUCAUGGCUUAUCUAGUCAGUGUACACAAUGUCAUGGCUGAUCUA